rnacentral:rRNA from 1 species
AGUGAACGCUGGCGGUAGGCCUAACACAUGCAAGUCGAACGGCAGCACAGUAAGAGCUUGCUCUUACGGGUGGCGAGUGGCGGACGGGUGAGGAAUACAUCGGAAUCUACUUUUUCGUGGGGGAUAACGUAGGGAAACUUAAGCUAAUACCGCAUACGACCUACGGGUGAAAGCAGGGGAUCUUCGGACCUUGCGCGAUUGAAUGAGCCGAUGUCGGAUUAGCUAGUUGGCGGGGUAAAGGCCCGCCAAGGCGACGAUCCGUAGCUGGUCUGAGAGGAUGAUCAGCCACACUGGAACUGAGACACGGUCCAGACUCCUACGGGAGGCAGCAGUGGGGAAUAUUGGACAAUGGGCGCAAGCCUGAUCCAGCCAUACUGCGUGGGUGAAGAAGGCCUUCGGGUUGUAAAGCCCUUUUGUUGGGAAAGAAAAGCAGCAGGUUAAUACCCCGCUGUUCUGACGGUACCCAAAGAAUAAGCACCGGCUAACUUCGUG